rnacentral:lncRNA from 1 species
UCCUCCUCCUCCUCCUCUUCCUCCUCCUCCUCCUCCUUUUUUUGUUAGUGGCCUUUAAGAUCUUUUAAUAAACCUUAACUGAACAUCUAAUAACUGCAAGGCAUUUGGCCAAACACAUGACAUUAUGUUUUUAGUUUUGUAUUCCCCAAAGUUACUGAAUUUUUAGCAAAUGUGAUCUUAUCUAGAAAUAGGGUAGACAAACAAAUUACAAUAAGGACUUUAGGCUGAACCUUAAUCCACUCUGAAUGGUGUUCUUAUAAUAAGGGGAACUUUGAUCACAGAGAAAUACAUGUAUAAAGAAUUCCAUUUAUCAAAAUUAUUCUGAUACUAGACAUGGAGCUCCCAGAAAUUAGGAGAAAGGCUAUUAUGAACCAAAUGCUUGUAUCUCCCCCCCAAACUCAUAUCCCCAAUGGAAGGGUACACCUUAGGGAGUUUCCUGGGACAUUAGGAUGGAGCCAUUAUGAAUGCAAUGGACACCUUUCUAAAAGAACCACACCCCAAACUCCUUUGUUCCUUUUGCCCUUUAAAGACUCAGUAAGAUGGCAAUCAUCUGUGAACCAGGGAACAGGACUUCUAUAGACACUAAAUCUGGUGAUUUCUGAGGCUGGAAAUACCCAGUCUGAGCUACAAGACCUACAAUUUUACUGUUAAUAGGCUGCCUGGUCUACAGUACAUUCUGAAGCAGUGGGAAUGGACAUGAAGCACAGGCUGGAAACAGGUCCUUUCACAGUGGCUGCAGUAGGGCACAGCCCCAAGCACACCUGGAGACAGAUUCUGGCUAAUGGUUGCAUGAGUGGAAACAAACUUCAGCAACAAAGCAGCUUACAGUCAUCCAACAUAGGCCCACUGGUUUUUUUUUUUUUUUUUAAAUCACAUUCCACUUGGAAACAUACAGAAAGCAAUGGCUUGUUUGCUAGGAGCAGGCUAAUGAUCCAGUUCCGUCCUGAUUUAAAAAUAGGUGGAAAAGCAAACAAUUAGAAUAUAACGGGAUGAAUACCGAUAGUGACAGGAAUCAAAGAUAGUUAUGCUGGUUGCUUGUCAGCUUGAAUGAGUGCUUAUCUAAAUUGUUCUAUUAUCAAUAAAGACUCAGGAGUCAGAUACUGGCAUAAAAACCUGAUCGAUGGAAGAAGCAGUGGAGGAACAACCAAUCGAUCCUCUCUUCCCAUUUUCCAGAUGGGAAAGAACCAUGAAUCUUCUAAGUCACCUUCCUACUCCUUCCUGUGUCUCUCUAUCAUAUUUUGGAUCCUUCACAAUCUCCAUGGUCAGUUCUUGUCAAAUGGUGGUUGGCUCUACCUCCUGAUCCAAGUUUAACUUUAUUAACACAGUUUCAGAAUGUCACAGUUUGAUCAAAUAUCCCACAACACUUGAUUGUUGAUCUCUAGGCUUUGCUGAGGCAGACAGCAGUUGGUGCUUAGGAUGAGCUUUGAAGUGUAAAGUUUGCACAAGAGAGGACCACCCCAAGAGCAGUAAUGAGUAUAUACAAAACUACAAAAGCAAGGGAGAGUAAAUGACAUUUGGAGGUUAGCAAAUAAUUUGGUAUAGCCAAAGCAUAGGAUUGUAACGAUAAAUAUUUCCACCAAAAGCCACUGAACCCCAUCGCCAUGUGUGUACUUUACGCCAGCCUCCCGCCUGAGUUAGGGCCCAAAUUAAUACACAGAAACUUGUAUUAGGUUCAAAUGCUGCAUGGCCAAUGACUAGGAUUUCUCAUCUGUUAGCUAAGUCUCAAUUAUCAUAAAUCUAUAUAUUUUAUAAGACUUAUCUUAUCGGAGGCCUUAUUGGAGUCCUUCCUUGCCGGUGGAUCACAUUGCUCUGCUGGAGGAAGAGCAGAGGGGAAAAGGGACACUUCCUAUUUCUCCAUGCUCAAAUAUGAG